GUGCCAGCAGCCGCGGUAAUACGUAGGGGGCAAGCGUUAUCCGGAAUUACUGGGUGUAAAGGGUGCGUAGGCGGUAAAGUAAGUCAGAUGUGAAAGCCCUAGGCUCAACCUAGGGACUGCAUUUGAAACUGCUUUACUAGAGUGCAGGAGAGGAAAGUGGAAUUCCUAGUGUAGCGGUGAAAUGCGUAGAUAUUAGGAGGAACACCAGUGGCGAAGGCGACUUUCUGGACUGUAACUGACGCUGAGGCAC
rnacentral:rRNA from 1 species